rnacentral:rRNA from 1 species
GCUCUUGACAUGCCUAUGAACCUUAGUGGAGACACUUUGGGCCUUUCGGGGCGUAGGACACAGGUGCUGCAUGGCUGUCGUCAGCUCGUGUCGUGAGAUGUUGGGUUAAGUCCCGCAACGAGCGCAACCCUCGCCUUUAGUUGCCAGCAUUUAGUUGGGCACUCUAAAGGGACUGCCAGUGAUAAGCUGGAGGAAGGUGGGGAUGACGUCAAGUCCUCAUGGCCCUUACGGGCUGGGCUACACACGUGCUACAAUGGUGGUGACAGUGGGCAGCGAGAUCGCGAGGUCGAGCUAAUCUCCAAAAACCAUCUCAGUUCGGAUUGCACUCUGCAAACUCGAGUGCAUGAAGUUGGAAUCG